rnacentral:tRNA from 1 species
CAGGAUAUAGUUUAACUAGAAUGCUGGCUUUGGGGGUCGGUGGUGGAGGUUAAAGUCCUUCUGUCCUGA